rnacentral:lncRNA from 13 species
CCCCUGGAAAUGGCUAUUCAUGUACUAGUAAAAAAAAAAAAACAAACUUGUGAUUCACUGGCAUUCAAGAGUUUUAGUGAUGCCUUAUGCAAUGUUUUUUUGUUGUUUAUUCCCAGGGUUGAAUGUAUAUUCAUGACCUGCUAGCACUGAGAUCAUCUACAUGUUGGCUGGAUAAGAAGAAAAGGAAGCAUUCAGAGCUCUUUGUUGGUCAGGCUUUCCUUCAGAUAUCACUUGUAAAGCUUCAACGACCAAGAAGGCUGAGAGAACUACUGGUAGCAUGGAGAUUAAAAUCAUCUACACAGACUUCUACUGCAGUUCAAAUUAAUUGAUGAAUUCCACCCAGUAAGUAAAUUUUUCCAUACUUCCUGAUUGAUUUGGAAGCUACAUCGCACUGAAGUUGAAAUGCUGCUUGAUAAAGAUGAACUUUAAACACAACCUCAUGCUUGCUGUGUUAAUGCACAACAGUAUUAUACCAGCACCAACACCAAGCAAACAAAUCUUAUUUUGUAAUUAUACCAAAAAAUAUUAACAUUAUGACAUGAUGGCUUUCAUUCUUUAACUAUUUCAUUUGAACUUACUCUGUGGUGCUUCUAAGGUAUGUUUGGAUUAUCUACUUUCAUAGGCUAGGUCUCCUUUGGACAAAAUUAAAGACAAUGGAGAUGGGCAAUCUUACAAAUGACAAGGGCCCAUUUUUCUUUACAUUUCAAGGUAAGACCAAAUGACAGUAUAUGGGCUCAAUCUUGUUACACAGGGACUGGGGAAGAAGAUAUGCAAGUCAGAUGUGCUACAGAACUAUACAGUUUUUAGCACACUGGGUCCUACAUCUGGUUAAUAUAUGUAGGUGCUUCUGAAACACAAAAAACAACAUGCAAUUUACAAUAAUCAAAUCACAAAAUUCUAUGAACUACAAUGUUCUGUCAUUUUUAUUCAUUUGGGAAAAAAUAAAAAUUACUCUCCUGGCUUCAUUUCUUCUGUGCUAAUGUUGUCCUACAAGUGAUGCUGCUUCCCUAAGAGAUACUGAAGUUCUCCCAGCUCCUCCUGGUACCACUCCAGUAACCCACACUGCUCAGGGCUGCAAUGGUGGAUGCAGUGCUCCAUGACUUUACCUCACCAAGGACCUCAUCGAGAUCCCAGCUCAAACUGCGUAUGUUGCUUCACUGGAUUUAAGUGUGAUCAAUAUGUCCUUUUGUCUAGCUCAAAAUGCUUUUAAGCAUGAAAUGUCACUAUUAUUUAAAGUGAACAUUACAUGGUAAAAGUAAUUAGUAUCAUGUGUGGAGUUGCAGAAUAGAUUAUUUUUCUCUUGUGUAUGCACUGGACAACAUCUUUACGUUUCUAAAAGUUCUGCCCUUAGGGAAGAUUUGUUCAUAGGUCUCAUGGUUAUCCAUUACCAUGGUUCUUUAUAUCUAAAAUAAGCUUGUUUAGAUGGAAAAUAUGUGUUUAGAUCUUGGGAUAUGAAAAUACCAGAAGCAAUAUUGAAAUUUUUCAGCUUUUUGUCAUUGGACUCUUGUUCCGGAAAGCCCAGUCUCUGGCUAUGCAGCCAGUGGGUAAAUGAAACAUUAAGCAGAAAACAGAGAUCUGAGGCCCACAAAACUUUAUAGAGAUUUGCCCACGGUCCAACAGGACAUUUAUAGCAAGGACAAGAACUGAACAAGACUUUCUGUCACGUAGUAUAAACACAUUACCUCUCUUCCUCCAUCAUCUUAUGCCUCUACUUCAGCUGAAAAAUUGGCUGUAAGUUUAAGCCAAGUUAAAACAGCUGGAGAAAUAUACUGGACCCUAGUUACUGCAAAACCUUGUGUCACAAAUCUGACAGAAAUCAGUGACUUCUUCUUUAAUAUGCCAAUAGCUUUCUCAUUUACUCCCUCUUCUUCCUGUUCUCCAACAUCUCCUAAGUUGCACACAUGGGCUGGUUCAGUUCUUUAAUAUUACUUGCAUUCAAUAGAGCUUAUGCAAACAGUAUUUUUAGUUAACAUACAAUUUGGAUAGGAAUAGCAUUCCAAAUCUAACAUUUAUCUUGAUUACUUUAAGCUAACUGUACCCACAGGUUCUAAAAUGCCAGUUCGGAAAAUGCUCUGGGCACAAAAUAAUAUGAGAUCACUAAUUAACUAGGAAGUUUUAAAAGAAGAUCUGAUUUAG